rnacentral:piRNA from 1 species
UGGUGAGUAUGAUGAACAGGAAACCC